GCAGUGCUGGGGCGACGGUUAGCCGCGCAGGUGAGGUGGAGGGAGGAUGGCGGAGUUGGUUCCUUUUGCGGUUCCCAUCGAGAGUGACAAAACCUUGCUAGUGUGGCAACUGAGCUCCGGACCCACGGCCGAGGCUUUGCAUCAUUCUCUGUUCACAGCAUUUUCCCAGUUUGGCCUUCUAUAUUCAGUCCGGGUCUUCCCAAAUGCUGCAGUGGCCCAUCCUGGUUUCUAUGCCGUCAUUAAGUUUUAUUCAGCAAGGGCUGCCCGCAGAGCCCAAAAGGCAUGCGACCGGAAGCAGCUUUUUCAGAAAUCUCCAGUCAAGGUUCGUCUUGGCACCAGACAUAAGGCAGUUCAACAUCAAGCCCUUGCCCUGAACAGUUCCCGAUGCCAAGAACUGGCGAAUUACUACUUUGGUUUCAAUGGGUGGUCCAAAAGGAUCAUCAAGGACCAUUAUCGUUCCUUAUGAAAAGGAAGACAGCCCAGAAGCUUGCUAUUCAGAAGGCUUUGUCAGACGCAUUCCAGAAACUGUUGAUUGUUGUUCUAGAAAGUGGUAAAAUAGCUGUGGAGUACAGACCCAGUGAAGACAUCAUAGAUGUCAGAUGCGAAGAAGAACUACACGGUUUAAUUCAAGUCCAUUGCUCUCCCUGGAAGCAGUAUGGCCAAGAGGAGGAAGAGUAUCUCUCGGAUUUCAGCUUGGAGGAGGAAGAGUUCAGGCUGCCAGAACUUGACUAGCAUUUCUGAAUAUCCCGAGGCGAGGUCGCCUAACUUCCUUGGGAAGCUCUGCCAUGCUGCUACCCAACCCCGCCCCACCACUGUAGGCUGCUGGAGUCCUGGGACCACCUAGGUCAGCCGCCCAAAUCUUUCCUGGCGAAGGGGAGGGAAAGGGUGUUCUGGUGGAGCAGGAAGGGAGGCUUGGGCCUGAUUGUGGGAUAAGAUCGCCCUGGUGACGAGGAGCAAAUCUGGAACGGAACUUAAUAAAGGUUGCCUAAAUAAAGAUAUGGUAAAUAACGGACGAGGCGGGGCCAUGGUUGCUAGGGGCGCAAGGUUGCUAGGUGUGCGAGCAUCUCUGGGCUGCCAUAAUGGCUCCAGCUCAGUGUGGGACGCCAAGUUAUGUCAUAUACCGGCUGCGUGUGUGGUCCCUACGGUCCCUCCUCACAUGACAACUAUUGUGGCUACUAGUCCAGGAGGCUCAGCCAGAUCCAGGGCCCACUCCAGCUGACCUCUGACCCCCUGAGGCCAACUGACCCCUGGUCUUGGCGCUCCUGCCAUCUCUCCCCGGAAUCUCCCCAUGCGCUUAUCCACCCCCACCCCGAUACAGACCCGGGGGGCUUUGAUAACCUGGGGUCCUUUACUUCCACCCAGAUGUCAGCCUCCACUCAGGAUCCGACUGAGACUUUGGUUCCAUUCCUGGACACGGAUCCAGCUGGAGAGCUGCCCCUGGGGCCAGAGAAGUUCGCUGUUGUACACCAGGAUCUGAAUGACAAGCUGACUUGCAAGAAGGGCUCCCAGAGUUGGUUCCAAUGUCAGACUGGGAUCAGAACCAGACGCUAGCUCGGCCUCUUUGCCUCAAAAGUAAGGUUCAAACUGUAGGUCUAGAUCAGGCUGCAGAUUAUCAGGCAUAUGAAAUACUUGUUCCACCUCUAGAUAGUCAGAAUUCAAAAGCAAUGAAGAUUAGUGUUUUGCCCAAAAACCUGAAGAAAGAUCUAGCUAAGCAUCGGAGGCUUGCUAAGGUUUUUGUUGGAACUCCACACUGAUUUAUAUCAAAACCUCAGCGUCAGAAACAAACUUUACAGGAUGAGUAUUUAGAUUCAAGUACGGAUAUACUAUAUCUGGGCAGCCUGCCUCCAGAACAACAGGUAAACUCAGAUUAGCCUCCAGGGCCCGCUGAGCAAGUUGGGCUCUCAAUUCCAUCUAGAGCCUGAAACUCAAAAUCCAGAGGACAGAUCCAGUCCUCUUCACUCCAGCAAAAAGCCCCAGUGCGGCUUCCACAGCUCCCUGAGGAGGUAGAACCUUCUUCAACCCAGCAGGAGGCCCCAGCUCUGCCUUCACAGUCCCUUAAGGGGCUCCACUCUUCAACACAGCAGGAGGCCCCAGCACAGCAGCUGCCUGCCUCAGAAGAGACUGUAGCUCAGCCAUCAAUACAUCAUCAGGUAAAUGUUCCAUUAAAAGUUGGAGUGAAGCUCAGCACUCACACUUGCCCAGUGUCACAGUCAAACCUGUGGAUGUGGAGCUUACGAUAAUUCAAGAGCCAGGUAAGGAACUUACAUCAAGCCAGGAACAAGCCGCAGCUCAGCUUCCAGAGUACCCCGAGGAGGUGAACUCUUCCUAAACCCAAUUAAAGGCCCCAGCUCAGAUACCAGACCACCCUGAGAAGAUGAAAACGUCUGUAACCCAGCAAGGAAAUCCAGCUGAACCUCCAGUUCCUCCUGUGGAGGCUUAACCUUCUCCAGGUGAACAGGAGCAGCCAGCCUAGCCUUCUGAGUUUCCAGGGGAGGUUCUCAGACUCAGCAGGAGACCCCAGCUCAGCCUCCCAAGUCUCUGGAGAGUGCAGCUCAAACUCCACUGAAUCUUGAGGUGACAGUUCAACCUCGGGGUAAGGAUCGAGCUCAUUUUACCUUGCCCAACGUUACAGGUAAACCUGCUGAUUUCAAGAUUACCAUAACUUCAGAGCCUAACAAGGAGGCAGAAUCCUCUCAAGCCCAGCAGGAGGCCCUAACCCAGCCUCCAGAGGAGGUAGAACCUUCCACAACCCAGAAGGAGACCCAGCUGAGCUCCCAUGUCCUCCUGUGGAGGCUGAGCCUUCCCCCAGUGAGCAGGAGCAGCCAGCUCAGCCUUCAGUUUUCUGGGGAGGCUGAACUUUCUUAGACCCAGCAGGAGACCCCAGCUGAGCCUCAGAGUCCUCUAUGGAGAGUACAGCUCAAACUCCACUGAAUCAUGAGGUGACACUUCAGCCUCCCGUUGAGGAUCAAUCUCAUUAUAACUUACCCAGUAUUACAGUUAAACCUGUAGAUGUGGAGAUUAUCAUAACCUCAGAGCCUGUUAAGGAGGCAGAAUCUUCUCAAGCCCAGUAGUAGGCCCCAACCCAGCCUCCAGAGCAGAUGGAACCCUUUGCAACCCAGGAGGAGACCCCAACUGAGCUUCCCCGUUCUCCUGUGGAAGCUAACUCUUCCCCCAGUGAGCAUUUGCAGCCAGUUCAGCCUUCUGAGUCUUCUGGGGAGGUUGAAUCUUCUCCAGCCCAGCACGAGACCCCAGCUCAGCCUCCAGUUCUUACAUCACGAAGUAACAGUUUCACCUCAGGUCACCAUUGAGCUCAGCAUUCAGAUUUGCCCAAUGUCACUGUUAAGCCUCCAGUUAUGCAGCUUAUCAUAGCAACAGAGCCUACUGCAGAGGUGGGAACUUCUCCAAUCCACCAGGAGGUUACUGCUCAGCUCUCAGGGCCAGUUAAUUAUGUAGAACCUUCCACUACCAAGCACAGGGACCCAACUCUGCCUCCAUAGUCAUCAGAAGAUGACUUUACCAGUUCAACAGGAGACUUCAGUUCAAUCUCCAGACUUCAGUUCAAUCUUCAGUUCAUCUCAAUUAAAGAUGAGAACCUCUCUCCAGCCCAGCGGGAGACUGCUGCUGAGUAUCCACAGAUGCCUGAGGAGGUUGAGUCUUCUCCGACACAGCAAUAGGCCCAAGCUCAGCCUUCAGAGAUCCCUAAUGAAAUUGUAGCUAAUCUCCAGCGCAUCAUGAGGUAACAGUUUCUCUAAGUCAUGAUCAAGUUCGGCCUCCAACAUUGCACAAUGACACUGUGAAACCUGUGCAUCAAAUGGUAACCAUGACACCAGAGUUCACCUAACAGGUUGAAAUUUUAACCAAACGCGGGGCCCCAGCUCAGUCCUCAAUGUCCCCUUACCAGUUUCAGCAUUUGAAAGACCAGCGAGAAAUGAUUAUUCAGCAGCCAAAUACCCCUGAAAAUGAUGAACUUCCUCCAGUCCCUCAAGAGUCCACAACUCAGUCUCCAACUCAGCUCUCCUCAGACUUUGUAAGGUCAUUGAAUGAUGAGAUGGUAUUUUUGCCUCUAGAUCUGUCUUUAAUAUUCAGAAACAAUUCAACUUUCCCUAAUACCACAGUUAAAAAUAUGGAUAUGGACCUCACCAUACCUACAGAAGUCACUAUGGAGAGUGAACCUUCCCCAGUCCAGCAGGACAAUCCUAUUCCCACUGAGUAGGCUGACUUUUCUCCAACCCAGCAUGAUACCCCUUCCCCACCUCUGGAUUCUCCUGAAAAGACUGAAUCUCCAUCACAGCACAAGACCACAGCUCAGACCCCAGAUUCCCCUAAAGGGGUGGAAUUUUCUCCAGUCCAGCAAGAGUCCCCAGCUGAGGCACUAGAGCUCCCUAAGCAGGUUGAACCAUCUGCAACCCAGCAGGAAGCCUCAGGUCAUCCUCCAAAGUCCACUGCAGAGGUCAGUCCACCAAAGCUGAAGAUACCAGCUCAGCCAUUGGCCACCUGAGAAGGUCAAACCAUCUUCAGUCCUACAGCAGGCCUCAACUCAGCUUUUAGAGCCACCUGAAGAGGUAGAAUCCUCUCCAGUCCAGUAGGCAGUGCUUGCUCAGUCUUCAGAGCCCUAUGGUGGUAGAAUCUUCUUUGACACAGCAGAUGGCCGCAUCUUUGCCUCCAAAUCUCCCUUAGGAGGUGGAACCAUCUCUAACUCAGCAGGAGGGUCCAACUCAGACUCGAGAGCCCCCUAUGGAGACAGAACCUUCUCCAGCUCAGCAGAAGGCCACAGUUCAGGCUCCAGAGCCUCCUAAGGAGGCAGAACCUUCAAGUCAGUAGAUGGUCCCAGCUCAGCUUCCAGAGCCCCCUAAGGGGGUUGCAGUUCAACCUCUAAUGCAUUAUGAGAUGACAAUUAUAACAGCAAGCCAGGACCAAGCUCAGUAUCCAGCAUUAUGAAAUGACAAUUCCAACAGCAGGCCAAGACCAAGCUCAGUAUCCAGCAUCACCCAGUGUCACAUUUCAACCUUUACACAUGGAGCUUACCAUAACUCCAGAACCCACUAUGGAGGCUGAGCAUUCUAUAAUGCUGAGGAUGACUACAGCUCCUCCAAAACACCCUGAGGUGACCCUUCCACCUUCAGACCAUGUGCAGGCUCAGCACACAAACCUGAGGCCACAGUGCAACCUUUGGAUCUGGAAUUUACCACGAAUCAACAACCUACUACAGAGGAUAUAUUUUCUCCAACCAUGGAGAAUUCAACUCAGCUUCCAGAGCAACCUAUGGAGGUUGUAACUCAACCUUCAGCUCAUUAUGAGGUGACAGUUCCAAUACGAGGUCAGGAACAAGCUCAGCAUUCAACACUGGCCAGUGUCGCACUUCAACCUUUGGACCUGGGGCUUAUCAUCACUCCAGGAUCCACUACAGAGGUUGAACUUUUCCAGCCAUGCAGGAGACCCCAACUCAGCAUCCUCAGGAAGUUAUACCUUAACCUCCAGUAUUUCAAGAGGUAACAAUUUCAACACCAGGUCAGGAUCGAGCUCAGCAUUGAAU